CCUACGGGAGGCAGCAGUGGGGGAUAUUGCACAAUGGGGGGAACCCUGAUGCAGCGACGCCGCGUGGGUGAAGAAGCGCCUCGGCGCGUAAAGCCCUGUCAGCAGGGAAGAAAAUGACGGUACCUGAAGAAGAAGCCCCGGCUAACUACGGGCCAGCAGCCGCGGGAAUACGUAGGGGGCAAGCGUUAUCUGGAUUUACUGGGUGUAAAGGGGGCGCAGACGGCGAUGCAAGCCAGUAGUGAAAGCCCGGGGCCCAACCCCGGGACUGCUCUUGGAACUGCGUGGCUGGAGUGCAGGAGGGGCAGGCGGAAUUCCUGGUGUAGCGGUGAAAUGCGUAGAUAUCAGGAGGAACACCGGUGGCGAAGGCGGCCUGCUGGACUGCAACUGACGUUGAGGCCCGAAAGCGUGGGGAGCAAACAGGAUUAGAUACCCUGGUAGUC
rnacentral:rRNA from 1 species